ACUCUGGUUUACUCUGACCAGUCUCAAGUGUUGACUUGUAAUUACAGGCUUUCUCUAAUUCUUCAUCUGCUGUAUGACUAACACCAAUUUUGGGCUUUUUUAUAUCUGUUACAGCCUGCAAAGAUCCAGCACCUGUGCCUGGUAUAGAAGAUCUGAAUUCGUCUGCCUUGGCGUCCUGACUUUUCUUAAUGGACCUGGACAAACUUUUAUGACGGCUCUUUGUGGACACACCACUAUUAUUGAUAUCACAGGAUUCAUCAUCAGACAAGUAAAGGAAAGCUGGGCUUGUCUCCUCUAGCUGUUUUCUGUCUUUCUUCAACUUUUUAUAGGUGUUGGACCUUUUUGAAGCCUUGUUAUCCUGCCGAAUGACUGGUUCCCAAAAAUCCUCCGGAAUAUCUCCAUCAAAAUCACUGAACGCUGAUCUGUUAUCUGUAGCCCGAUUCUGUCUGAAAGUAUGAAGAGAUGAAAAUGGGUCAAACUGGACUGGAAUCUCUCUCACAGCAGCAUCAUAAUUUUGCCUUCGUCUGUGAAAUAAGUCAAAUCCAAAAGGUGGAUCCGAGAAAAAAUCCGAAUAUUGUGGAAAUCUCAUGAUGUCAACUCUCAUUCUGAAAAAAGACAUUGCAAAUAUUCAGCCAAUUGCAAUUUAUUAUGGUUAUUUGCAACUUUUACAUAAAAAUACUUCGAUUCUACCAUUUCUAAGCUGUUCAUGAUAAUGAUCUGGCGACCAACUGACAAAAUAAUUUACUUCACUUACCUUAACAAAUUUGGUGAAUGACAACGAUACACCUAAAUUAUCCUAUGAUCGUGAUUCAAACUGACUAAGCGAAUUCAGGAACCCGUCACGUUUAUAUAUUUCAUUGUUUACAUUCUUGAACCUUCGUGAUUCAUCAUCGAACCGACUUCCUGUGUUGUUGUUUGAAGAGUUCAUUCCCUUUAGUUCAUUGUUGAUUGUGACGUCAUCCUCCUUGUUUCAACAAUAAUUGUUUGUUUCGCUUAUGACGUUGCAGUUGAAUGGGGUUUUUUUUACGAUGUAACUCAUAACAAAGUUUAAAAGUUUAUCUUAAAAAAAUUAAUAGGUGAUUGGUGAGCUAGCACUGACCGUAGCUAUUUUUAUACACACAAAGGUAUGAUGCGCCGUUUUAAUAUUUUUGAGGUAUUUUCUAAUCAAAAAAUAAAUAUUUAAAUAUU
rnacentral:sRNA from 1 species